GGGGAUAUAGCUCAGUUAGUAGAGUGUUUGCCUCAUAUGCAUAAGGCCCUGAGUUCAAUCUCCAGCACCACCA
rfam:Ictidomys tridecemlineatus contig015367, whole genome shotgun sequence.